CUGCAGUGAUGACUUUCUUAGGACACCUUUGGAUUAAUCAUGAAAACAACACUGAAUUCUGAGCAGC
rnacentral:snoRNA from 1 species